UACAUGUCAUUCACAUUUCAUUUUAUUUUGUGAUAUCGCGAAAACGAGGUUGAUUUUGUUCGUAAUUCGCGUACGCGGUGGUUUCAGGCAUGAGCUCCAGCUUUUUGCGAGCCAUCGUGUUAAUUCAUCUAUUCGAUUAAGCGGACAUUAAAAUGUGCUGAUAAACGGUGAUUGAACUGACUGCAAAUAUUUUUUCACCAUACCUCCUCGACUUUUCGCUUCUUAAGUUCCGCGCGAACAUUUUUUGUGUUUUGGUUACAUGAACAUUAUGUGAUUUGUUUUCCGUGUUAACACUGAGUAGCAACUUCUAUUUUUGACAACGUUCGUGCUAAAUAUAAAACUUUCCUUAGGCUGUUUUGAUGAAUUACAUCGGGCGUGAGGUGGAAUUGCAUUAAAUGGCGUCCUAUAUAAAAGGAGGAGAAACGAAUUCGGAAGUCCCUUCCGCAGCCAGUGUUCCGCCAUCUUGAAUACAAACAAAAUUAUACACUACAAAAAAAAAUGCAAUCCGUCGGUCGCCGUCCACGAGUCAAUACAACAGAGACGAACAUUCUGAACAGUUUAAAGAUUAAAAAGAAAAAUAACGAGCUUAACGCGACAAUGUGUUCGAAAUUGAAACUUUGAACGUUCCUUUUUCGAAAUUCGCCUUCGAUAUUCCGUAACGGUUUUUCAUCUGUUCCCUAUAAACUAGUGUGUCUAAUGAAGCUUUAAUAAAAAAAAAAAAAA